CGACCCCAGGUCAGGCGGGACUACCCGCUGAGUUUAA
rnacentral:ncRNA from 61 species